GAGCAAAUCUCAAAAAAACAAUCUCAGUUCAGACUGCAGGCUGCAACUCGCCUGCACGAAGUCGGAAUUGCUAGUAAUCGUAGGUCAGCAUACUACGGUGAAUACGUUCCCGGGCCCUGUACACACCGCCCGUCAAACCAUGAGAGUUGGCAACACCCGAAGUCGGUAGUCUAACCGCAAGGAGGACGCCGCCGAAGGUGGGGUUGAUGAUUAGGGUUAAGUCGUAACAAGGUACC
rnacentral:rRNA from 1 species